AGCUUUGUGCAGUGGCAAUACUGUUAGCCAAUGAGGUUUAUCCAAGGCGCGAUUAUUGCUAAUUGAAAGAAAAAGAUAAUACAACCGCCAACACAACAAUAGCUGUCUGGUGUGAAUGAAUCAAAAUUAUACCAAUUUU